rnacentral:rRNA from 1 species
GGGAAUCUUCGGCAAUGGACGAAAGUCUGACCGGGCAACGCCGCGUGAGUGAAGAAGGUUUUCGGAUCGUAAAACUCUGUUGGUAGAGAAGAACGUUGGUGAGAGUGGAAAGCUCAUCAAGUGACGGUAACUACCCAGAAAGGGACGGCUAACUACGUGCCAA